rnacentral:lncRNA from 10 species
CUCUUCCUGUGUGGAACCUGGGAAUCAAGUAGCCGGCUUGCCUUGCGGAGGAUCCUGCUUCCCCCUCCUCCACCCCAUUUUUUUCCUUUCACCCAGUAAAACCCUGUUUAACUCACCCUUCAAACCGUCUGCGAGGCUACGUUUUCGUGGCCACGGGACGGACAAGGACCCCAUCUUUAGCUGAACUACGGAAAAGCCCUGCAACACCACCAUCUCAUCGCUGACUUGGAAAUAAGCUAGCAGUGGCUGUGUCAGCAAGACCACCACAUGCAGCAAGGGUGGCCACUUCCAGCUAGCUCCUGCAUCCACAGCUGCCUCGCCCCUAUUGGCUACUGCCAUCCAUGUAACAGACUCUUGGGAAAUAUGCUCGGCUGAAAAACUGCAUUUCCCAACUCAAGACCUAAGAGGUGGUCAGGAGAUACAAGCAGGAGUCCUUGGAUGAGAUGACAGAAUUACCAGAUUUUCUGGAGAAAGAGGUUACUGUCCUGAGCCUCGAGUGGAUUUUCCAGGAAUGAUGAUGCCCCUGCUGAGUCUGACAAUGCAGCUCAAGACUACAAGGAGGCAGCAGGGCGCUGUGGCCCCUGCCCGUAAUCCUAGCACUUUGGGAGGCCAAGGCGGGCAGGUCACUUGAGGCCAGGAGUUCGAGACCAGCCCGGCCAACAUGGUGAAACCCAAUCUCUACUGAAAAUACAAAAAUGAGUCGGGCAUGGUGGCUUGCACCUGUAGUACCAGCUACUUGGGAGGCUGAGGCAAGAGAAUCGCUUGAACCUGGGGGGAGGCGGAGGUUGUAGUGAACCGAGAUUGCUCCAUACACUCCAGCCUGGGCAACAGAGUGAGACUCUGUCUCAAAACAAAAACAAAAACAAACCAAAAAAGACUACAAGGAGGCUGAUUCUCCUAAAUUUUGCUUCCAAAAUGUAGAUUCAAUCCUCAUUGGUGGUCAGUGUUGGGUGAAAACUGUAUUUCUUCAUUUCAGCUCAAAUCAUGUAUAAAAUUAAGUUCAAAUGGCAGUUAAACUGGGAAAGUAAAAUACGCAGUAGGUUACCAUGGUGAUUGCUGACUUAAAAUAAUUAGAGAAAAUAAUGAGAAAACUAUUUCCUCUCUUAAGGAUUAGAGAUCUGUAAACUGAUACCAGUCUAUUUUUAGUGUACGUAAUCUGUGUAAUGAUGAUAGAGAAUUAUGAGUAUUUUAGAAUGCUUUAAAAAGCUCUGUUUGAUUGGGAAAUUUAAUCGACCCAAUACUUACAUCAAAAUUUAUACUUGUCUUUAUUAGAUCUAAGUUGACUCCACAAAAAGAAAAUUACUUGUAUAUGUCUCAAUGUAAUCAUUUAAAUAAAACAUUAUGACUAAGUAUAUAGCUGAAUUAAGAUUUAAGACCUGUUUAUAACUUCUUAACUGCUAUAAUUUCACAGCUCCACCUUAAUAAUUCAUCAUUCGAAAAUGGUUGCAUAAAACUUGCUGUUCAAAAGUUUUCGAGGAAGAGACCCAUCAGAACAAGUAAAGCACUCAGACUAUAACGUGGCAUACCCUGGGAAUGGAAUAUUCCUAGGUGCUUCUCAUCAUUUCAUGCUUGCAGUGAAAUAUUGCUGCAGACUGACCACAUUAUUCAAAGCACAUGAACUCUGUUACUAACUUCAGUAAUGACUCAUAAUUUAUUUCUAGUUACCUAAGAGUAUGUUCUGGAGAACUGAACAAACUGGCUAGAAAGUGAAAAAAUCAAUUCUUUUUUUAUCUGGUUAAUGUGAUGUUAAAUGAGCAAAAUAACCACUUGGGAUUAGCUCGUCUCCACGUUAACCAGGCACAUACACCUUUUGAGGGUCAUUUCCUCCAUCCAUUUGCUUACCCAGCCCUUCACAAGGCCCCACCUGUCCUGAGCUAAGAACUCUGCUGGCUUCCAGAAGAGUGAUGGUAGGCUGCAUUUUCCCAUCUCCUGCUUACCUCUCAGCACCUGUAGUUUUGAAUGGUAGCUAAAGUUUUUCAUGUGAUCCUGAGCAAAAGAUUUGGAAAAACUGGACUCUUAAUUCAGGGUUCUGUGGUUCCCAAAGUCAGGGUUUUAAAACAUCUAUGAAACUUUUUAAAAAAUAAAUGAAGAUAGCGAGUUUGAGAGAAGCUAGACAAUACACUGAGGGCUCCAUGUUAGGUGCUGAUGAUGCCAGGCCAUGAUCCCGAGCUCUCAGACCCUAAUCCAGGGUGUUUUCUAUUAAAGAGGUGCUCAAGUGAGCACAUGGAGAGAGAGACUGGGGAUGCUGGAAAUCCCUGAGCAUCACCCAUCAGAAAAAUGGGCUCUGAAAGGAAACCUUGUUUAGUGCUUUGAGGGGGAUGAGAAAACAGCAUCAGAAGAGAUGCACAGGCCUCCAUAUUCCCUGAAGGGUUUUACCUGUUCCAGGGGAUCCAAAAUUCAAGGGCUGGAAGAAAGGUCCUGGCCCACAUGCCAUUUCUGAAAGUGUAUUUGUAAUGUAUGAAGUCAAAACUCAUUGCCAAACCUGCCUGAUUAUGUGGAGUGUCUAUUGACAUACAGAUUCCUAGACCAUUCCCCAGGAGUCCAGAUUCUGUAAGUUGGGUGCAGGAUCUUGGAAUCUACAUCUUUAACAAAUGCUGCAGGUGGUUUUUGUGAUCGGGCCAGUAAGGAAAACAUUCCUUUAGAAAAGGGGU